UACGUAGGGUGCGAGCGUUAAUCGGAAUUACUGGGCGUAAAGGGUGCGUAGGCGGAUAAUUAAGUUAGAAGUGAAAGCCCUGGGCUUAACCUAGGAAGAGCUUUUAAUACUGAUAAUCUAGAGUAUAUCAGAGGGGGGUAGAAUUCCAAGUGUAGCAGUGAAAUGCGUAGAGAUUUGGAGGAAUACCGAUGGCGAAGGCAGCCCCCUGGGAAGAUACUGACGCUGAGGCACGAAAGCGUGGGUAGCAAACAGG
rnacentral:rRNA from 1 species